rnacentral:rRNA from 1 species
UACGAAGGGGGCUAGCGUUGCUCGGAAUCACUGGGCGUAAAGGGUGCGUAGGCGGGUCUUUUAAGUCAGGGGUGAAAUCCUGGAGCUCAACUCCAGAACUGCCUUUGAUACUGAAGAUCUUGAGUUCGGGAGAGGUGAGUGGAACUGCGAGUGUAGAGGUGAAAUUCGUAGAUAUUCGCAAGAACACCAGUGGCGAAGGCGGCUCACUGGACCGGUACUGACGCUGAGGCGCGAAAGCGUGGGUAGCAAACAGG